UAGGGAAUCUUCGGCAAUGGGGGCAACCCUGACCGAGCAACGCCGCGUGAGUGAAGAAGGUUUUCGGAUCGUAAAGCUCUGUUGUAAGAGAAGAACGUGUGUGAGAGUGGAAAGUUCACACAGUGACGGUAACUUACCAGAAAGGGACGGCUAACUACGUGCCAGCAGCCGCGGUAAUACGUAGGUCCCGAGCGUUGUCCGGAUUUAUUGGGCGUAAAGCGAGCGCAGACGGUUUAAUAAGUCUGAAGUUAAAGGCAGUGGCUUAACCAUUGUUUGCUUUGGAAACUGUUAUACUUGAGUGCAGAAGGGGAGAGUGGAAUUCCAUGUGUAGCGGUGAGAUGCGUAGAUAUAUGGAGGAACACCGGUGGCGAGAGCGGCUCUCUGGUCUGUAACUGACGCUGAGGCUCGAAAGCGUGGGGAGCAAAGAGG
rnacentral:rRNA from 1 species